AUUGAACGCUGGCGGCAGGCCUAACACAUGCAAGUCGAGCGGAUGAAGGGAGCUUGCUCCUGGAUUCAGCGGCGGACGGGUGAGUAAUGCCUAGGAAUCUGCCUGGUAGUGGGGGAUAACGUCCGGAAACGGGCGCUAAUACCGCAUACGUCCUGAGGGAGAAAGUGGGGGAUCUUCGGACCUCACGCUAUCAGAUGAGCCUAGGUCGGAUUAGCUAGUUGGUGGGGUAAAGGCCUACCAAGGCGACGAUCCGUAACUGGUCUGAGAGGAUGAUCAGUCACACUGGAACUGAGACACGGUCAAGACGCCUACGGGAGGGAGCAGUGGGGAAUAUUGGACAAUGGGCGAAAGCCUGAUCCAGCCAUGCCGCGUGUGUGAAGAAGGUCUUCGGAUUGUAAAGCACUUUAAGUUGGGAGGAAGGGCAGUAAGUUAAUACCUUGCUGUUUUGACGUUACCAACAGAAUAAGCACCGGCUAACUUCGUG
rnacentral:rRNA from 1 species